GGAAUUUUGGACAAUGGGGGCAACCCUGAUCCAGCCACGCCGCGUUCGGGAAGAAGGCCUUCGGGUUGUAAACCGCUUUUGGCAGGAACGAAACGGUGCUCGCUAAUACCCAGCGCUAAUGACGGUACCUGCAGAAUCAGCACCGGCUACCUACGUGCCAGCAGCCGCGGUAAUACGUAGGGUGCAAGCGUUAAUCGGAAUUACGGGGCGUAAAGCGUACACAGGCGGCUGUGCAAGACAGGUGUGAAAUCCCCGGGCUUAACCUGGGAACUGCAUUUGUGACUGCAUAGCUAGAGUCCGUAAGAGGGGGGUGGAAUUCCACGUGUAGCAGUGAAAUGCGUAGAGAUGUGGAGGAACACCGAUGGCGAAGGCAGCCCCCUGGGAUGAGACUGACGCUCAUGUACGAAAGCGUGGGGAGCAA
rnacentral:rRNA from 1 species